rnacentral:misc_RNA from 1 species
GAUGAAGAACGUAGCGAAAUGCGAUAAGUAGUGUGAAUUGCAGAAUUCAGUGAAUCAUCGAAUCUUUGAACGCACAUUGUGCCCCUUGGUAUUCCAUGGGGCAUGCCUGUUCGAGCGUCAUUUGUACCUUCAAGCUCUGCUUGGUGUUGGGUGUUUGUCUCGCCUCUGCGUGUAGACUCGCCUUAAAACAAUUGGCAGCCGGCGUAUUGAUUUCGGAGCGCAGUACAUCUCGCGCUUUGCACUCAUAACGACGACGUCCAAAAGUACAUUUUUACACUCUUGACCUCGGAUCAGGUAGGGAUACCCGCUGAACUUAAGCAUAUCAAUAAGCGGAGGA